GUUAAGUCAGGCAACGAGCGAGACCCACGCCAACAGUUGCCAGCAUGUCCUCCGGGAUGAUGGGGACACUGUUGGGACCGCUCUGCUAAAGAGAGGAAGGAAUGGGCAACGGUAGGUCAGCAUGCCCCGAAUUAUCCGGGCUACACGCGGGCCACAAUGGUCAGGACAAUGGGUAUCGACACCGAGAGGUGGAGGCAAUCUCCUAAACCUGUCCUUAGUUCGGAUUGUGGGCUGCAACUCGCCCACAUGAAGCUGGAAUCCGUAGUAAUCGCGUUUCAAAAUAGCGCGGUGAAUAUGUCCCUGCUCCUU
rnacentral:rRNA from 1 species